rnacentral:rRNA from 1 species
UAGGGAAUCUUCGGCAAUGGGGGCAACCCUGACCGAGCAACGCCGCGUGAGUGAAGAAGGUUUUCGGAUCGUAAAGCUCUGUUGUAAGUCAAGAACGGGUGUGAGAGUGGAAAGUUCACACUGUGACGGUAGCUUACCAGAAAGGGACGGCUAACUACGUGCCAGCAGCCGCGGUAAUACGUAGGUCCCGAGCGUUGUCCGGAUUUAUUGGGCGUAAAGCGAGCGCAGGCGGUUUGAUAAGUCUGAAGUUAAAGGCUGUGGCUCAACCAUAGUUCGCUUUGGAAACUGUUAGACUUGAGUGCAGUAGAGGAGAGUGGAAUUCCAUGUGUAGCGGUGAAAUGCGUAGAUAUAUGGAGGAACACCGGUGGCGAAAGCGGCUCUCUGGACUGUCACUGACACUGAGGCUCGAAAGCGUGGGUAGCAAACAGGAUUAGAUACCCUGGUAGUCCACGCCGUAAACGAUGAGUGCUAGUUGUUUGGGGCUAUCCAGCCCUAAGUGACGCAGCAAACGCAUUAAGCACUCCGCCUGGGGAGUACGACCGCAAGGUUGAAAC